rnacentral:rRNA from 1 species
GAUGAACGCUGGCGGCGUGCCUAAUACAUGCAAGUCGAGCGAACGGACGAGAAGCUUGCUUCUCUGAUGUUAGCGGCGGACGGGUGAGUAACACGUGGAUAACCUACCUAUAAGACUGGGAUAACUUCGGGAAACCGGAGCUAAUACCGGAUAAUAUUUUGAACCGCAUGGUUCAAAAGUGAAAGACGGUCUUGCUGUCACUUAUAGAUGGAUCCGCGCUGCAUUAGCUAGUUGGUAAGGUAACGGCUUACCAAGGCAACGUUGCAUAGCCGACCUGAGAGGGUGAUCGGCAACCUUGGAACGGAGAACGGGCCAAGCCUCCUACGGGAGGAAGCAGGAGGGAUUCUUGAGCAAGGGGCGAAAGCCGAACCGAGCAACGCCGGUGGAGUGAGGAAGGUCUUCGGUUCGUAAAUCUCUGUUAACAGGGCAGAAAAUAUGUGUAUGUAAAAGUGCGCUCAUGGACGGAACGUAAGCAGAAGGCCCCGCUUAAUUACUU